ACGCAUGGGAAGGCAAGUAACUGGUCUCGGAGGCUAACCCAUCCCUCUUACUCCACCUCCUGUGAGACAUCUGACUACGACAUGCCACAUACACAUUUUUCUUCACCUGGACAAUAAGUUCCUUGAAGGCAAACCCUGUGUUCUCUGGAACCUGCUCACAUUUUCCCAGUGGUCUACACAGUGUAUGUACCCCGAGUCACACUAACAAAUGGACACAAGUGAGUUCUGCGGAAGUAGUGGAAGGUUUCAGAGACACUUGGGUCCUAUACAUUAGUGUUAGAAGUUACUCCUUUCCGCUCUGUGUCUCCAUUUCCCCCUUCUGAACAAAAAGAAAAAUU
rnacentral:lncRNA from 10 species